UACGUAGGGUGCAAGCGUUGUCCGGAAUUAUUGGGCGUAAAGAGCUCGUAGGCGGUCUGUCGCGUCUGCUCUGAAAGCCCAGGGCUCAACCCUGGGAGGCGGGUGGAUACUACGGAACUGGAGUACGGAAGAGGAGAUUGGAAUUCCUGGUGUAGCGGUGAAAUGCGCAGAUAUCAGGAGGAACACCAACAGCGAAGGCAGAUCUCUGGGACGUUACUGACGCUGAGACGCGAAAGCGUGGGGAGCAAACAGG
rnacentral:rRNA from 1 species